rnacentral:rRNA from 1 species
UUGGCCUACGGGACGCAGCAGUGAGGAAUAUUGGUCAAUGGGCGCGAGCCUGAACCAGCCAAGUCGCGUGAGGGAAGACGGUCCUAUGGAUUGUAAACCUCUUUAGGCGGGGAGCAAUGCCGGGCACGCGUGUCCGGAGGGAGAGUACCCGCAGAAUAAGCAUCGGCUAACUCCGUGCCAGCAGCCGCGGUAAUACGGAGGAUGCGAGCGUUAUCCGGAUUUAUUGGGUUUAAAGGGUGCGUAGGCGGAUGUUUAAGUCAGCGGUAAAAUGGCCGGGCUCAACCCGGGCCGGACGUUGAGACUGG